GACGAACGCUGGCGGCGUGCUCAACACAUGCAAGUCGAACAGAAAGUGCCCAGCUUGCUGGGUGACUCGAGUGGCGAACGGGUGAGUAACACGUGGGUGAUCUGCCCUGCACUUUGGGAUAAGCCUGGGAAACUGGGUCUAAUACCGAAUACACCCUGCUGGUCGCAUGGCCUGGUGGGGGAAAGCUUUUGCGGUGUGGGAUGGGCCCGCGGCCUAUCAGCUUGUUGGUGGGGUGAUGGCCUACCAAGGCGACGACGGGUAGCCGGCCUGAGAGGGUGUCCGGCCACACUGGGACUGAGAUACGGCCCAGACUCCUACGGGAGGCAGCAGUGGGGAAUAUUGCACAAUGGGCGCAAGCCUGAUGCAGCGACGCCGCGUGAGGGAUGACGGCCUUCGGGUUGUAAACCUCUUUCAAUAGGGACGAAGCGUGAGUGACGGUACCUAUAGAAGAAGCACCGGCCAACUACGUGCCAGCCGCCGCAGUAAAAC
rnacentral:rRNA from 1 species